UCCAGUACAUCUCCAGUUCAACCAGUGCCUCUGAGUUCACUCUCCACACUUAAUUGGUUCCCAAGUGCAUGAUGGCUGACUGACAACCUUCACAGCUGGUGCCACAAUAAUUUUGAAAAGAAUACUGUUUUAAAAAGGAAACACUUCUGGCAGCGAGAAUUUCCUGAGAGCGAAUCGAGAGGAUGGCUGCGGUGAACGCCGGCCCAGAAUGCACCACAGGAAGUGUCUGCGAGACUCCAGAAGCAGAGGUCAAGGCCAGGGGUCAACGGGUGGCACAGCAGAGAUUUACGCCGAGAGCAAACCCAGCCCGUUCCCAGCCUUCAUCCAUUUCCCGGGGAAAUUAGCCAUAAAGUCUCCGUUUUCAUCUUUCAAGAGCCGCAGGGGUGGUGAGGAGGAUGUUGUCGCUGACUUUUGAAGCAUCUGACAGGGCGAGCGAGAGGAGGGGUGAAACUGAUCCCGACACUGACAUGCAGAGACCUCCGGGGUCAAAGGUCACGACCCUGGUAACGCAAAGGUACGGACGGCCCGGGAGGAUUGUGACGAGCUGUGUGUGACCGACUCUCGCUGCCAGUGAGCUCAAAAAAUUUUCAUGUCUUGCAUGCAACUGGCACGGUGUGAAUCCUCAUGUCUGCACAUGGAGUCUCACGCAGACAGACACCUCCGGUUCAAGCUCAGAGCGUUAAGGCAGUCCAAAGCCGAGGGCUUCCCUUCAUCCAGAUGUGAUUGGAUGGUUCAGCACCUCUCAAGAGCCUGAUGAAUAUUCAAAGAUCCAGGGUAGAGGAGAUGCCAGCAUGACUUUUUUUCUUUUUGAGAGGGAAAGUGCAUUUAUCAACAGCAGAUUUAAAGUAGCACAAACUAAUUGUGAAGUGCAAGCUGCUCAUGCCAGGCAAAACGAGAGAGACAUUAGAAGAAUGAGUGCAGCACCAUCUGUGGGCAGGAAGUGAUGAGGCGAAACUUGGCGAAAACGUGACGUGCAGCGGCUCCAGUGGAGGAUCCAGACUCGUCUCUGGUGUGUGUGGGCCAUGGAGGACUCAUCUGGAGAUCCAGCCUGGACGGGGGGAGACGCUGAGAGUCGCGCUUCUCUCGUUGGGCCUUUCGCAUGCUUAUUAACUUCAAUCCAGCAGCCUGGCUGCAACAAACUCAUGCCAAAUCACUCAAACAUUUGCACUGCCUUUGUGUUCCUCACCUGCACACACUGGGCUGUUUUCUUUUCUAUUCUUCUAUUCUUUUAGAUAAAAAUGUAAAAAAAAAAAAAAAAAAAAAGUAGUGUCAUAUAACAAGGAAACAAUUUAAGCACGCAUAACAGUAAUUUGAUUAAACAAUCAUAACUUCAUUGAAGAGCAAGUUCCACAUGAACAGGCAAUUAAUUUUACUUCUGUAAUGUUGUUUAUUUCCAAGUGCAAUAGGACUUAUCUAUUGGGAACUGAUUGGUAAAAAUAAAAUGUCAAAAACAUACUUAAGCAGUCAUAAUCCCAAUUUCAUUGAAGAGCAAGUUCCACAUGAAAAGGCAUUUGCAAACCAUUUUAAUUCUGUAAUGUAAUGGAUUUUCAAGUCAGAGUGGAACUUUUGAAAAAUAUAUGACUUUUAUCUCUUGAGAUUGUACUGAUAAAUGUACAAAAA
ensembl:lncRNA